AUGCUACAUAGUUGGUUCUCAUCCUUCAGAGACUAUGAGUGUAAUAGAAGCAUCCGUCGACAAAAGGAUCACCCUAAGAUGAUCAUCACAUGGCUAUUGAGAACGAAUCAAAUCAAGCUAGAGUUGGACAAUUGAAGAAGAGCGGUCAUUCUAGUCAUGCCACAACAAUGAUGCUGUUUUGAAAUCUAAAUGUCACUAAGUCGGCCCUUGCCAGCUCUCUGCAUCAAAUUGGGAGAAUUAGUGCUUAUCGCUCACCACCUCACAGAAAAAGGGAAGUUGAAGUAUACUAUGGUGAGUCCACACCCUUGUGAAACAAAAAUUAUCAGCAGCUUGAAGAUUAGCCAGUCCAUCCCAAUGUUUAUGUGUUAGAUACCCAGGGAUUUUGCCUCCCAAAAUUCUCAACCUCGAGUCGCUUAGAGACAUCUUAGUCGGGGAAAAUUGUACAUUGUACAGUGCCUCUUAACUACUGUCAACUCAAAUGUGAUAAUUAUAAGAAGCUGUGACAGCUCGUUGGAGUGUUAGGGGGUAUCCAUCUGAUCACACGCAGGUAUAAGCACUAUCUGGUUUUUUUUUUAUUUUUUUUAAACUGAACCUAAUUCAUGCAAGUUAUUUGGGAAUUAGAUUAUUAGUGUACUAAUAAGAUACUAGAAUUUGAAUCUCCAACUUAAAAGGAAAGAAUACUAAACUAUACUUGACAUAUUGAUUUUGAAUUUUCGUCCUUUGGGAGACAAGCUUCUCAUUGAAUAAAUAGUUUGUAUCUCUUCCUUUGACUUAAAAAUGCGAAUUAAAGGUAAUUUCCUGAUAAGUUUGAGUAGUAGCUUUUUGAAAUCGACAG